rnacentral:rRNA from 1 species
CAGCAGCCACGGGAAUACGAAGGGUGCAAGCGUUACUCGGAAUUACUGGGCGUAAAGCGUGCGUAGGUGGUGGUUUAAGUCCGUUGUGAAAGCCCUGGGCUCAACCUGGGAAUUGCAGUGGAUACUGGGUCACUAGAGUGUGGUAGAGGAUAGUGGAAUUUCCGGUGUAGCAGUGAAAUGCGUAGAGAUCGGAAGGAACAUCUGUGGCAAAGGCGACUAUCUGGGCCAACACUGACACUGAGGCACGAAAGCGUGGGGAGCAAACAGGAUUAGAUACCCCCGUAGUCCCUGUCUCUUAUAC